AAAGUUGAAACCCUCCCACCUUUCCGUAAGCCAUAAGCAAAGUAAACCCGACUUUCUUGUAAAAAAAUAACUCAUACUGUUUCUUUCAAGUCAAAUUGAACUAAAUUUUCAACAUUGUCGUUGAAUUUCGAAUACAAAUCAUGUAGUUUUAUAGUAAUGUACACGUAAUUGAAAAAAAAGUAAAAGUCGGGCUUAUUUUUCUGACAGAUUUUCCGCUAGACGGCGAUCAGUGUCCAUAUCAGAAAUUGAUAUUCUAAACAGUUCGUCUGCUUGAGAAAAGAGAAAUAGUUACAUUGCUAGGAGUCGCGUUGACGUAAGUCGUGAGUGAGAAUUAUUUAAAGGAAACUAGUUUUUAUAAUUUAAAUGGCAGGAAGGAAGCAAAAUAAAUGUUUCCUCUACCGAUUUGACAAGGUACAAGUCAAGUAUUUUAUCAUUCUGAUCUUCUGAUUCCUCAUUCCACAGGUCUUGCCUUUAUUUCCUAAUGUUUAACAAUGUGGGUAGUGAAACAAAGCUUUGUUGUGGCUUUAUGAGUAACCAAGAUCCCUUUUGCAAAUGGAUAGAGACUUUACUGGACAGGUUUCCCAGUUACAGAUUGAUAAUUCUAGGGAAUUGAAAGAUAUUGCACUCGUGAAAACUGUUGUUGAAUCUUUUCAUCACAAAAACUCUUCAUUUGCCUUUCAUAGUUAUAUAAUAGUUGUCUAACUUGUGGCAACCAAUUGCGGCACUGCUGUGGUUAACUGCAGCUAGUUGGAUUUAUAGUCUGUGAAAAGAAAAUUUAUACAAGCUUUAUGAAACUAUAAAUAGCAAACCUGUGUAUCCUUGAAUAUAAGUUAAGGUGUGAUCAAUUGAAAAUAGAUUAGUAGUUAGGUCACAGUUAAUAAAUUUGAUUCCACUUA